ACAGGAAAAUCCAGGGUGCACCCAACCUUACUCUCUGCUGCCCCUACUGUUGGCCCAAGUGGCAUGUUCUCUGGCACAGGCAGGUCACAGAGCAGGUGGGAAAGGCUGCCUUGUGAAUGUAGGAACUCAGGAAGAUGCCCAGGCACUAAGCCUUCUCCUUCCCAACACAGAGAGAGUCCACAAGAGAAGGUGGAGACCAUACCCACAGCUGAUCACCUCUCGGCAAAGCAAUUCUUUCACUUAGGUCUCUAACAUCUCUUGUGUCUUCCCACUGACUGGUAUGGGUAGAUAUUUCAGAAUUCCCUCCCUAUCCAGGCAUGUCACUACAGAGAGAUGAGGCUGGCCAUGCCCAGGGUGAGUGAGAUCUGGGAUGCAGAAUGCUAUGAGCUGUCUGAGCCAAGAGGAACAGAAGCCUCCAUGGCCUGCCCAGCAUCACAUAGCAACAGGGCUAAGAAUAGAUCUCAGGCUCCUGCUGCCCACCCACCCCCAGGCUCUCCUCCAUCCUUCAAUGAGUGCAUGUGAUGCUGGCCCUCCUGCAGAGCCCCCACUCAUGCAUGGGAGGUGACUACACUUCAUUCAGCCCAUUGAUGCUGCUUGGGGGUGCAGGGCUUGGUUUGUGUUCAGGAAAAGUAGAGGGAACCUUCCCAGAACUCGCAGAUCUGCUCUUGUGAAGAAACGCCAUGGUCCCACUUGCCCUGGACAGCCAUUAGCCCAGAGGCUGUGUAUUGACUGACUUCAGAAUCUCAGGACCCAGGGAGAAGAUGGCCAUCUAUGAACUAAAAAGUGGUCCUGAACUAAUGGGGGAUGCUGUUAGCAUCCCCAUCUUGAACCUGCAACUUCUAGAACUCUAAGGAACAUUUUUGCCUGCCGGCCUGUGGCAUGCUAAGGAGAAUGCUUCAGUAUCUGUUGUGUAAACAACAGCUCUGUUCUUGAAGGCUCUUGUGGCAAUGUGGUUUUCCUGAUCUCAGCCGAAACAACACCUCAAUUACUUCCAGGCCUCUCAUUUUCCUGCUCUUCCCAUUUUGGAAUUUUGGAGGAAGAAAAUAAACAAACAAAACAAGAAACCUCAACAAGACCUGGCAGAGACAUAAAGAUUUAACUCUGUCAGCAGGGGUCAAAAUAUGUGUCCCCCAAAUGGCCCACCCCUUCUCCUUAGAUCUGACUUUCUUAACUCUGCACAAUUGACAUGCUAUUGGUUUAGGUAUAAUUUUUUUAAGGAGAUGGAAGUCUUAACAUGGUAGCUCAGGCUAACCUAGAGUUCAGUAUAUAGCCCAGGAUGACCUCAAACUUAGCCUCAGCCUCUCAGAAGCUUAGAUUGCGGUUGUAAGCCACCAUGCCCAGAUAGUGUUUUGUCGGGGAGGCUGGAAAUCAUAGAACAUUUAGCAUUUUUCCCAGGCUAUACAUUAGAUGCCAAGAGUAUCCCCAUUCCAGCUGUUCUAACUAAGCAUUUCUCUGGAUUAAUGCUAUCUGUUCACUGGGGGAGGCAGUAAAGCGAGCUCAGUCUACCUUGUGCACCCCAUCUUCUCUUUCUGACUCUAUCCCUCUCAACACACACCCCAUCCAUUCAGGUCAUGACCUUGAUUCCAGCAUGAGACUUUGACAGCCAUGAGAGCUCAUGGAAGAAGCUGAAUUGCUUCCUCCCACAAGCUGGACUCCAGACUGACCAGCUUGGCCAGGGCUGUGUGAAGUACAGCGAAGAGACCAGUGGAGCUGGGCUACAGGUCCCCAGAAAUACAGCUAGCAGACUGCUGCCCCAGUGAGAGUGGACCAUUUAAUGCGCAUGCCCGUGCACUAAAAACUAGUGCACCCCUGUGAUUUCCAGGCAGAAGAACCUCCAAGGUUAAGCGCAACCCCCAAGUCUGCGGGGGAUUCCUUCCCAGCACUGUGCCUUCAACACCGCUUCAAAAAACCUUUAAAAAAAAUAUAUAUGCUAUUGUUUGCAAAAAAA